AGCAGAGUGUCGCAAUGGAAGCGCACUGGGCUGUUGCCCCAGCGGUUCGUGGAUCAAAACCACGCUCUGCUG